CACUUGUACAGUUUCUCAGGAUGAAGACGAGAGAGAAGAACUACGAGGAAGAUCUUUCUGGAUUUAGCCUAUUUAGAUAUGACAACCUCUACCCUCAAUGCAGUGACAAAAUAAAGUCAAGACAUGACACUGUAUUGCGACGCAAUGAGUGGGAAUAUAUAAGACAUUAUUCAGAGAAAUGAUUUACUUGAUCCAGAAUACAAAAAUUAUCCAGAAGAAUUUAGGACGGGAAACUUCAAUCUCAUCCUCACCAACAGAUUCAAGACCCAAAGUAUUUGGUGAUGUACAGCAAGGACGUUAAAAUGCAUAGAAUUUAUCCGUAAAGUUUAACAAGCAUCAUCUGCUUCAUCUGUGUAUUUGCUGUGCUGAUAAACAAAGUGUGUCUGCAGGUCACAGUCGAGGGGUUUAUUGGUGGUUCUGUCGUCCUGCCGUGUUCUUCAACUAAACAUGAUCAUCAACUUCAAGACAUUGAUGUGAGCUGGAGACACAAUGGCAGCAAAAUUAUAUUUGAUAUCAUUCCACACAGUAAUUCACCAGUGACACAGGACUCAGAGUACAAGAACAGAAUUGAAACUUUCCCUCAGGAGUAUCAGAGAGGAAACUUCUCCAUCAAACUCAACAAUCUUCAACACACUGAUGCAGGGGAAUACACCUGCUUCAUCACACAGUCAUCUGAAUAUCGGACUGUACAGCUGAUCAUCAAUGGAUCAAUAUCCACUGAUCACGGAGGAACAGAACAGGAGGAAAUGGUGCCAUCACUGUCUUCGCUCUUGGUUAGCAUUAUAGUACCACUGUUGCUGUUAUGUCUGGUUGUUAUUUUAAUUGCAGUUUUCUGGAGAAAAAAGCACUUAGACAGCCAGACAGCUGGAAACGGUGUGAGUUCAGCCACUCCUGAGGUUGUGAACCCUUCUGCACAAUAUAAACCAAUAAAGGCUGAUAAUCAUGAUGAAGCAGUCGGUAAUUAAAAAACUGCACUUUCCUGCAGCAACUGCAUGAGCUUUUGCAUUAAACAUUGAGUCAGAGGAGGUUGGUGCUGUGGCUUCGGGUAGAAAAAUAAAAAAGUCUAGUAAGCAAAUGUUUUGUUUGAAGAACAGAAAACGGGUAGAAUUAGAGUGUUUCUGUAUCUUCCUUAAGAGCAUACUAUAAGGCUGCUUGGCAAUCUCUAUAGAUGCGGUCAUUCAUGGUUUUGGAAUUCAAGUAAAUUCUCAAAAAUUGUUCUGGAGCUCACAAGGUGCUCUACUCAUUCAUGUUUUUGCAGGAAAUGGCAUUUUUCAAUGCAUGCCAUAUCUUUAAAGGACAGAAGGACUCAUAGUAGCUAGAAGGCUUAAAAAAUGCCCUUGAACUGAUAUGAAUUUCCAAGCACAAAGGAAAAGCAACUAUAGUAAAACAUGAAUCGUUGGCUUGGCUUUUCAGAAAUCUGUUUAGUUUGCAUAGAAUCACAUUUGCUGUUAAAACAAUGUUUAUGUUGGUAACAUUGCCUAAAUAGCCUUAUAAAAACAGCACCAUGUAAACUACUUACCUGGUCAUAUAACAUUUCAUGAAUAUCCAUUUUAUUUCAUUAUUUAUUUAUUUUCAGGAGUGUUCGAUGUUUUGAUAUUCUUAGCUACAUUCACACUAAGACAAUCAUCGCCUGUACACAUGGGCUCAGUUUGUUGGCUUGUUCUGCCUUAUAACAAAAAAAAAAAAGCUACAAUGUUGCUUUAAUAGCUGUUUUUAUAUUUUACUUUUGUACCAUUUGUCAUUUCUUAUUUAUUUUAUGUUUCAACUCCUUUUAGUUACUAGUGUGUAUGAAGUGUGCUAUUUAAAUAACCUUGCCUUGCCUCAUGGCUUUAUAAGUGACUUUUUUAGCUGAAUGUUUACAUAUUUCGGAUGUACUGUUAUAUCCUUGCCUUAUGCACUGUUUUUAUUGUGUUACAGAAAGAGAUGUUGAAACCGGUACAUUUUUGGCUGAAGUUGUAAGACAGAUAAGCCUGUCAAUGAUAUAAACAUUUAUACUGAACAUGUUUUAUUUGUAAGAACUGGUAAAUAUAUUUUAAAUGUACUACAUUGUUCUCAGGUAUAGACGCUGGAAAUGAGGACCAUUGUGUUUCAUUGUAUGUACACAAGCUCUUUAUGUUCAAGAUCCAACAAAUAGUGUAAAUAAAAUAGAAUCUGUC